UACAGAGGGGGGCAAGCGUUGUUCGGAAUUACUGGGCGUAAAGGGCGCGUAGGCGGCCUGCUAAGUCGAACGUGAAAUCCCUGGGCUCAACCCAGGAACUGCGUCCGAUACUGGUUGGCUUGAAUCCGGGAGAGGGAUGUGGAAUUCCAGGUGUAGCGGUGAAAUGCGUAGAUAUCUGGAGGAACACCGGUGGCGAAGGCGACAUCCUGGACCGGCAUUGACGCUGAGGCGCGAAAGCCAGGGGAGCAAACGGG
rnacentral:rRNA from 1 species